UAACAGCCUCAGAAAUUGCAGCCCAAAUAAAUGCUUCACAGAGUUCAAGUAACAGACACACCUCAACAUCAACUGUUCAGAGGAGAUUGCGUGAAUCAGGCCUUCAUGGUCGAAUUGCUGCAAAGAAACCACUACUAAAGGACACCAAUAAGAAGAAGAGACUUGCUUGGGCCAAGAAACAUGAGUAAUUGACAUUAGACCGGUGGAAAUCUGUCCUUUGGAUCCAACCGCUGUGUCUUCGUGAGAAGCAGAGACCUGAGCCCUAGGACCAUGCCUCAGGACUACCUGGCCUGAUGACUCCUUGUUGUCCCCAGUCCACCUGGUUGUGCUGCUGCUCCAGUUUCAACUGUUCUGCCUGCGGCUAUGGAACCCUGACCUGUUUAUUGGAUGUACUACCUGUCACAGACCUGCUGUUUUCAACUCUCUAGAGACAGCAGGAGCAGUAGAGAUACUCUGAAUGAUCGGCUAUGAAAAGCCAACUGACAUUUUUCCUGAGGUGCGGACUAUGAUUAUUAUUAUUUGACCCUGCUUGUCAUCUAUGAACAUUUAAACAUCUUGGCCAUGUUCUGUUGUAAUCUCCACCCGGCAUGGCCAGAAGAGGACUGGCCACCCCUCAUAGCCUGGUUCCUCUCUAGGUUUCUUCCUAGAUUCUGGACUUUCUAGGGAGUUUUUCCUAACCACUGUGUUUCAGCUGCAAUGCUUGCUGUUUGGAGUUGUAGACUGGGUUUCUGUACAGAACUUUGUGACAUCAGCUGAUGUAAGAAGGGCUUUAUCAAUACAUUUGCUUGAUUGAGGAUAAGGCACAGCAUUUCAGUGCUAGAGGCAUCACUACAGACCCUGGUUCGAUCCCGGGCUGUAUCACAACCAGCCGUGAUCGGGAGUCUCAUAGGGAGGCGCACAAUUCGCCCAGCAUAGUCCGGGUUAGGGUUUGGCCAGAGUAGGCCUUCAUUGUAAAAUAAGAAUUUGUACUUAACUAACUUGCCUAGUUAAAUUAAAAAUACAUUUAAAAAAUAGUUUAAUUUAGUUUUUGUCAACUUUUACUUUCCUACAUUCCUAAAGAAUAUAAUGUACUUUUCACUGCAUACAUUUUCCCUGACACCCAAAAAGUAUUCAUUACAUUUUGAAUGCUUGGCAGGGUAGGGACAUUGUUAAAUUCACACCCUUAUUAAGAGAACAUCCCUGGUCAUCCCUACUGCCUCUGAUCUGGCAGACUCAGUAAACACAAAUGCUUCAUUUGUAAAUUGUGUCUGGCUAUCCGUAAAAAAACAAUAAACAAGGAUUUAGAAAUUAUUUUCCCUUUUACGUUUGAUACUUAAGUAUAGUUUAGCAAUUACAUUUACUUUUGAUACUUAAGAAUAUUUAAAAUACUACUCAAGUAGUAUUUUACUGGGUGACUUUCACUUUUACUUGAGUCAUUUUCUAUUAAGGUAUCUUUACUUUUACUCAAUUAUGACAAUUAGGUAUUUUUCCCACCACUGCAACAACAGACCACGUGUAACCAAGCCAGGACCUCCACAUCCGGCUUCUUCACCUGCGGGAUCGUCUGAGCAGCUGAAAUGACAGAACACUAUGUGCAUUUACCUCUGUUUCUAACAUUCAGGAGGUGCUCAUAGUUGACCCAUGUUGCAUUGGUUUGUGAGCUUGAGUGGCUGUACUAAAGCACUAGCCUAUGUCAAUCCCCCAUAGUACAAAACUUACUAAUAAAUAUUCCAAACAUACUCUGGACAGUUUAGCUUAAAAUGUUGAUAAACUAUUAGGCUAUUUCUUCACGUUAUAAGCACAGCAAUGCGCACACGGCAGUAGGCUAUACGCGUGAAUGUUUCAAAAUGUAAUCAAUUAGGGGGAAAACACUCAAAAGUGAAGGCAAAUGCGAUUAUGCAUGCAAUGCAUAUUUAUGGUGAAAUGAUCUUCCCCAAACUUGAAACUGCCUACAGUAUGUAUGUUAGGCUCUACAGUGGUUAUAAAGCGGAUUAAUGUGCUUCAUUUAUAGGAAUUAUUUGGCCACUUUAGUUGUGAUACAAACCUUAAGAAAACAUAUAUACUAUGGGCUAGGCUACAUGAGGUGUGCAACUAUGAUUUGAAAAAGUCGCAACAACAGGCAUGUGCUAUUCCUUCCCUUACUGCACAAGCUGAGUAUCAUCAAGGAAAAUGGUAUCUACUUUGGUAUAAUUUAAAAUAUAUUUUGAUUUGUUUAACACUUUUUUGGUUCCUACUUGAUUCCACGUG
ensembl:lncRNA